rnacentral:tRNA from 1 species
GUGGUUGUGGCUCAGUGGUAGAGUACUUGCCUAGAAUGCAUGAGGUACUGUGUUAAAACCUCAGCACCACA